rnacentral:snRNA from 1 species
GCUCCUUCGGUGGCAUAUACUAAAAUUGCAAUGAUACAGAUUAGCAUGGCCCCUGCACAAGGAUAACAUGCAAAUUUGUGAAGGGUUCCAUAUUUUU